GGGUCUUUAGCUCAGCAGUAGAGCGGCAGACUUCGGUAUCAAUCGAAGACCCAUCUUGGUAUUCUGCAGGUCGCGGGUUCAAUCCCCGUAGGACUCU
rnacentral:tRNA from 1 species